UGUAGGCUGAAACCAGGGGGCUCAAUCAGCAGGUGGAAUCUAAGGCAGGACUUGCUCAUCCUCAACGAAGGCCAAAACAUUAGUGAAGAAAACAGAGGAAUCCUAACCAUCCCAGGACAAUCCCAGGAACCAGUUUGAGGUCAUCUGAACUUUGUAACAUGUAAUCAUCAUAUGACCAACUCUGAAAACUGAAAACAUCUUAAAGAUCUAACCUUCUCAUGUCCCCAUUUUAUUGUUUUUUCCAUUAAUUUCCAGGACGUCUAGGAAACGUCUGGCUGCAGCUGGAGUCACAACACGGAGCAGCCCGUGGCCUCUCUGGUCUGCAGGAUCCUGAUCAGGGCCGUGACUGUUUUCAGACCUGCUGAGACCUUAUCCACAGAGAGAAGAUGCACAUGAGAUUCAGAAAUAGGCCAUGAAGCGAUGGAAGAAGAUGGGCUGCUCUGUUGAAUCAUGAUUUCUUUUAGGUGUGUGUGUGUCACUUACCUGGAGAGCACUCGGCACCAGGUAUGGGAAGAAGGCAACCCAGGGGAGACAAAGUUAUGCUUUGGGCAAUGUUCUGCAGGGAAACCAAUCAUCUUGCCAUCCAUAUGGAUGUUCCUUUGACAGGUUUUGCGAAACAGUGUUUGCAUCGAGAUUCAUACCGGAAAUGUUUCAGCGGUCCUGUGCUUUGUCAGCACACACUGUCAACAGCGAAGGAAUGCAAUCACUGUAAUGUCUCUUAAACCUUCAUAUCCCAUUAAACAGUUGCUUAUUUUGGCAGCACUUCAAAUUAGCCAAAAUAUUUUCAGGAAAUCAUUCCCAAAAUAUUUCCUUUUUUCCCUCCUCUUGAGUCACAGUUGACACUAACCAGGCCUGUUUCAGCAGCUCUGUUGAUCAGGUUGCUUAGCAACAGUAGGAUACAGGGAGCGAGUGGGAGUGACUGCAGGGUAACACAGGGAGCUCAUGACCCUCAUGAAAAGGCCACAAACGCAGCAAGAUGCUUAAAGAUGUUGACAUGUGCACAGUACAUCCUGGCCAUGUGUACAUGACUAUAAAAACAGGACAUUGAGCACGAAUGUAGUAAAACUGAGAAUUAAACAGCAUUUCAAGUUCUCAUUGACACUUUCUUUCUUUCUGACAUUACAAUUUAAAAGUUGUUUUACUCAAAAGUGUUCAAAUUAUGCUUCAGUGUUAAAAGUACUCCACUCAGAUCUUUUUAAUGAACAAAGAUUUUGGUUAGUGAGUCUUAAUUUGUUGAUUUUGACAAUUAAUCUAUUUGUAUUUGACAAUUUUAUAACAAAGACUGAGGCUGACACCAUGCACAGUCAUGGCCAGUUUAUAAAAUGAAUCUCAUAACAGCAACACAACAUUAAAAAGGUUAGGAGAAGUCGUGUAAUAUAAUGAGAAUACACUUGGUAGAACACCACAGUAUUAGGUAUUGAAAUUAGCCAUGGGUGAGAAACAUAACUGAGCAUAAAAGAGAAGAUCCUGGAGCUGCUGAUUCCUUCAGAAGUAAACAUGGGGAGGGGUUGACUGUUUCUGCAAUAAAUUAAAAUAAAUAAGGAUGUAAAACUGUACAAUGUGUUGGAGGAUUUCAUGAUUUACAUGCAUUUCUUAAGAUUUGGAUUUGGAGUACAUAAAAAAUGUCUGUGGGCGUGGUCUCUGUUUAUAUGCUGUAGCA